rnacentral:rRNA from 1 species
CCUACGGGAGGCAGCAGUGGGGAAUAUUGGGCAAUGGAGGAAACUCUGACCCAGCAACGCCGCGUGAAGGAUGAAGGUUUUCGGAUUGUAAACUUCUGUCGCGAGGGACGAAGAAUGACGGAACCUCGUAAGAAAGCCCCGGCUAACUACGUGCCAGCAGCCGCGGUAAUACGUAGGGGGCGAGCGUUGGCCGGAAUGACUGGGCGUAAAGGGAGUGUAGGCGGCAAUAUAAGUUAGAGGUGAAAGCCCGGGGCUCAACCGCGGAACUGCAUCUAAAACUAGAUAGCUGGAGUGCAGGAGAGGUGAGUGGAAUUCCUGGUGUAGCGGUGGAAUGCGUAGAUAUUAGGAAGAACACCGGAGGCGAAGGCGACUUACUGGACUGUAACUGACGCUGAGGCUCGAAAGCGUGGGGAGCGAACAGGAUUAGAUACCCCUGUAGUC